rnacentral:rRNA from 1 species
AUGCCUUCCUGGAACGACAAGGAAACGAGCUCCGACGAGGACUGCGAGGUCGUCAGCAUGGACAUGGGACUGAUGGAGGAACCGGAGACCAUUGUGAAGCCCCUUUUCUAUGGCCAACUUGAGCUUGCUAAACCCAAGUGCAUUCUGCACCAAAUGAGGCAUGUUAAGCGUGUUGCUUUUGAAGGCACUGUAACAGGAAGACGUUUCUAUGGCUGCCCAGUCCAGGCAAAUGGUGUGAACUGUGGUGUUGUAGAGUUGGUUGAUGGGCCUUGGCCUCCAGUUCUUCAGAGAUGUUUGUCCAAGCUAUGGGAAAUGUUCCAUGAGCAGAACUAUGGAAGGGUACUUGACAAAGAUAAGUUUGAGAAGGAGUUGGCCAAGGUUAAGAGUGAACAUGGAAGGGAGUUGGCCAAGCUUAAGAUGAAAAAUGACAAUCUUUGCAUUGAGUACACCAAGCUUGUUGAUGAUGUAUCCAAGAUGUUUGAUUGGCAGGAUGGUAGGGUGGACAAGAAUGUGCAGCAGAAACAAAUGGAGGAAGAACUUGAGAAGAAGAAGAAGGAGCUAGAGGAGAAAGCUAUGUUGGAGGUGCAGAUGGAAAAGCUUAAACUUGCAAAAGAGCAGAUGUGCAUUUUGCAGAGCCAAGCUGAUAUCAUCAAGAACACCAGGAAGGCUAUGAAUGAUGUUCAAGUUGAUAGAGAUGUUGUUAUGAAGGAGAAGGCAAAGCUUGAGCUAGCUGUUGCUGAGCUGCUGAAAGAUGGGUAUGGCAGCAAGGAGAAGUUAGAGCAAAUCAAGGCCAUCCUUGAGUCAUGA